CAUGUAUAAGAGGUCCAGCCUGCCCAGUGACUAUAUGUUCAACGGCCGCGGUAUUCUGACCGUGCAAAGGUAGCGUAAUCACUUGUCUUUUAAAUAAAGACUGGUAUGAACGGCACCACGAAGGUUCAACUGUCUCCUGCAUCCAAUCCAUUAAACUGACCUCCCCGUGCAGAGGCGGGGAUACAACCAUAAGACGAGAAGACCCUAUGGAGCUUUAAACUAAAGGCAACUGCCAACUUCAACCUAACCCAUAAGGAAAUAACAAUUAAACAAGCAGAAACUGACCUAAAGUUUUCGGUUGGGGCGACCACGGAGAAUAAAAAAUCCUCCUUGAAGAAUAGGGCCUACCACCCUUAACCAAGAACCACCAUUCUAAGUAACAAAAUUUAUGACUAUAAUUGAUCCAGUCCUACUGAUCAACGAACCAAGUUACCCUAGGGAUAACAGCGCAAUCCAUUUCAAAAGUUCCUAUCGACAAAUGGGUUUACGACCUCGAUGUUGGAUCAGGGCAUCCCAGUGGUGCAGCCGCUACUAAAGGUUCGUUUGUUCAACGAUUAAAGCCCU
rnacentral:rRNA from 1 species